rnacentral:rRNA from 1 species
ACGUACACUCCUGCGGGAGGCAGCAGUGGGGAAUAUUGCACAAUGGGCGCAAGCCUGAUGCAGCCAUGCCGCGUGUAUGAAGAAGGCCUUCGGGUUGUAAAGUACUUUCAGCGGGGAGGAAGGCGAUAAGGUUAAUAACCUUGUCGAUUGACGUUACCCGCAGAAGAAGCACCGGCUAACUCCGUGCCAGCAGCCGCGGUAAUACGGAGGGUGCAAGCGUUAAUCGGAAUUACUGGGCGUAAAGCGCACGCAGGCGGUCUGUCAAGUCGGAUGUGAAAUCCCCGGGCUCAACCUGGGAACUGCAUUCGAAACUGGCGGGCUAGAGUCUUGUAGAGGGGGGUAGAAUUCCAGGUGUAGCGGUGAAAUGCGUAGAGAUCUGGAGGAAUACCGGUGGCGAAGGCGGCCCCCUGGACAAAGACUGACGCUCAGGUGCGAAAGCGUGGGGAGCAAACAGGAUUAGAUACCCGAGUAGUCCCAUGAU